rnacentral:rRNA from 1 species
CCUCAGUAGCGGCGAGUGAAGCGGCAAGAGCUCAGAUUUGAAAUCGUGUUUCGGCACGAGUUGUAGAGUGUAGGCGGGAGUCUCUGUGGAGCGCGGUGUCCAAGUCCCUUGGAACAGGGUGCCUGAGAGGGUGAGAGCCCCGUGGGGUGCUGCGCGAAGCUUUGAGGCCCUGCUGACGAGUCGAGUUGUUUGGGAAUGCAGCUCUAAGCGGGUGGUAAAUUCCAUCUAAGGCUAAAUAUUGGCGAGAGACCGAUAGCGAACAAGUACUGUGAAGGAAAGAUGAAAAGCACUUUGAAAAGAGAGUGAAACAGCACGUGAAAUUGUUGAAAGGGAAGGGUAUUGGGCCCGACAUGGGGAGUGCGCACCGCUGUCUCUUGUAGGCGGCGCUCUGGGCGCUCUCUGGGCCAGCAUCGGUUCUUGCUGCGAGAGAAGUGGUGCCGGAAAGUGGCUCUUCGGAGUGUU